rnacentral:snRNA from 1 species
AUUCUUUCGCAGAGGCAAUAUCGUAACCAAUGAGGUUCGUCCGAGGCACGAUUAUUGCUGGUUGUAAAUUUUUAGGGGCAGUCAUGGCCUAAUGGUUAGAGAGUCGGACUCGUA